rnacentral:rRNA from 14 species
GAAGGUGGGGAUGACGUCAAGUCAGCAUGCCCCUUACACCCUGGGCUACACACGUGCUACAAUGGCCGGGACAAAGGGAAGCCAACCCGCGAGGGGGAGCAAAUCUCAUAAACCCGGUCUCAGUUCGGAUCGUAGGCUGCAACUCGCCUACGUGAAGUUGGAAUCGCUAGUAAUCGUGGAUCAGAAUGUCACGGUGAAUACGUUCCCGGGUCUUGUACACACCGCCCGUCACAC